GAGUGACAGGAGACGUGAUCAGAUGCUCGGCUGAAUGAAGAAAGAGUGAAAGCCUAAGCUCCAGCCUUUUCAGGCAGGUUUUCCUCCCUGAGCUGAGCCAGGCCCAACCCAAAGGUUAUUUGCCUCUUCUCUUCUGCCUGGGCACUGCCAAAGAAAAAAGGAGAUUGUAGCAAUUCACUGGACCCAGAACCUAGUUGAGGGAGCAUUGUGACAUGCCACUGGGCUCAGCACCCAGGUGAUGUUCCUCUCCUGCCUGGUCCCUUCCAUCAGGGAAUAUUGUACAAAUCUCUGGCCAAGCACCCAGUUGAUGUGACUCUCCUGCUCACUACCUACUCACAGGUUACAUGUCCCAUGUCGCAGAAAAUGUUGUAAUGUAUUGCUGGACCCAGUCACCAGAUGAUGUGUCUCUCCUGCCAAGGCUGUGCCCACAGAGAGCAUUUUGACAUAUCACUGGGCUCAGCACCCAGGUGAAAUGACUCUGCUGCCUGUACUCUGCUUUAAGAGGGGAUUGUAAUAUAUCUGUGGCUGAGCACCUAGGUGAGAUGACUUCUGCGUGGUUUCUGACCUCAGGAAAGAUUGUGACAUAUCUUUGCCGAAAACCUACAUGAUGUGAAUCUGCUGCUCACUUCCUACCGACAGGAGGGAUUGAGACAAUUCUGGAAGCCCAGCACCUAGGUGAUGUGACUUUCAUCUUUUGUUUGGACCGUGUGCACAAAAGGAAGAGUGGCUUAUCACUGGACCUCACACACAGGAGAGAUUGUGACAUAUCUCUGGAACCAGAACCUUGGUGAUGUGACUCUUCUCUCCUGCUGAAGCCAUGCCCACACAAGGGAAAGUGACUUAUCACUGGGCCCAGCACACAGGUUAUGCAAAUGGAGGUGGAUUGUGACAUAUCAUAGGGCCAACACAACACACAGUCUACAGGUGGAAUUGGGACUCUCAUGCAUGGAUCCAGUUCAUCAUUGAUACUGUGACUCAGGUGGGAUUUUGACAUAUAACUGCACCCAGCACACAGGUGAGAUUGUGACUCUUGUAUGCUCAUCCUGCCAAAAGUUGAGUGUCACCCUCACACAUGGACAGAGACUUCUGGUAAGGUCUUGAAUCUUGUACAUGGACACAGUCCACAGCUGGAAUGUCAUAUGUAGAUCCAGCCACAGGUGUGAUGUUGACCUAUUUAUAAAGUUAGCUCACAGGCACAUUGAUAACUCUCAUACCUGGAUCCAGCCAAUAAAAUAUAUGUUGACUAUUAUAGCUAGGCUUGAGUAAACUGGUAGGGUCCUGGGUCUUCUACCUGUAUGAGAGUCACAGAAGAUUAUGACACUUAUGGAAAUUACAUAAAGCCCUCUGGCAAUGCAAAGUUUUAUCACGGGGCCCCACACGCAGGUGAGAUUGUGACUUCAAUAUGCAGACAAAGCUAACAGUUAGUAUUGUUACCUUCACAUAUAAACAGAGCCCACUGGUGAGGUUCUAAAUCUCACACACCAAAAAAA
ensembl:lncRNA novel transcript